rnacentral:rRNA from 1 species
UACAGAGGAUGCAAGCGUUAUCCGGAAUGAUUGGGCGUAAAGCGUCUGUAGGUGGCUUUUUAAGUCCGCCGUCAAAUCCCAGGGCUCAACUCUGGACAGGCGGUGGAAACUACCAAGCUGGAGUACGGUAGGGGCAGAGGGAAUUUCCGGUGGAGCGGUGAAAUUCGUAGAUAUCGAGAGGAACACCGGUGGCGAAGGCGGCGAUCUGGACGAUGACUGACGCUGAGACGCGAAAGCGUGGGGAGCAAACAGG